CGUACGUCUUCAGUCACGCCUAUUCUGGUCACACCCAACGUGUGCACUACUAUCUAUUUAAAUGUCAAUGAUCUAAUGCGGUAGUAUUCUGAUGAAAUAUUUUCAUUGAUGUGGGCGUGGUUGCAAUGAAACAAAAUGGCGACUAUAAAGGCUAUGAAACGGGAGCAAUUCUCCAGCUUACUUGCAGCAGGAUGAGACUCAUCUGUUAUCCAGACACUUCUCUAGCAGCAACAAAGAUGACAAAGUAGCUAUAUAAUCAUCAAGAAAGAAGAUCAAGUUGUGAGACAGUGACUGCCAUUAAUAUCUGCAGAAAUUCUUAACUCAUGAAGCUUGAAGAGCAAGCUCAUAGUAUGAAAUUACCUUCCACUGAUGAAAGUUAUGCAAUGCUCUGCAUCAGUAUAUUGACAUCAACCUUUAUUUAGUCUUAAUAUGUGACUACAUCAAUCUAUAUAGACAUUGUACAUUGCUAAUCGAAAAUCAAGAUUUUAAUCGUUUUGCUCGCCCCUCAA